UGCCAUGACCAGGAUUAAAACCUGGGUUAUUAAGGCCACAAUGCAAUGUUCUAACCACUAGACUAUCACGGC